GGGUUGUGAGGUUAAGCGACUAAGCGUACACGGUGGAUGCCCUGGCAGUCAGAGGCGAUGAAGGACGUGCUAAUCUGCGAAAAGCGCCGGCGAGGUGAUAUGAACCUUUGACCCGGCGAUGUCCGAAUGGGGAAACCCAGUGCAAUCCGUUGCACUAUCGUUUGAUGAAUACAUAGUCAAACGAGGCGAACCGGGGGAACUGAAACAUCUAAGUACCCCGAGGAAAAGAAAUCAACCGAGAUUCCCCCAGUAGCGGCGAGCGAACGGGGAGCAGCCCAGAGCCUGAAUCAGCUUGUGUGUUAGUGGAACGGUCUGGAAAGUCCGGCGAUACAGGGUGACAGCCCCGUACACGAAAGCACACAGGUUGUGAGCUCGAUGAGUAGGGCGGGACACGUGGUAUCCUGUCUGAAUAUGGGGGACCAUCCUCCAAGGCUAAAUACUCCUGACUGACCGAUAGUGAACCAGUACCGUGAGGGAAAGGCGAAAAGAACCCCGGCGAGGGGAGUGAAAAAGAACCUGAAACCGUGUACGUACAAGCAGUGGGAGCCUCUUUAAUGGGGUGACUGCGUACCUUUUGUAUAAUGGGUCAGCGACUUAUAUUCUGUAGCAAGGUUAACCGAAUAGGGGAGCCGAAGGGAAACCGAGUCUUAACUGGGCGUUAAGUUGCAGGGUAUAGACCCGAAACCCGGUGAUCUAGCCAUGGGCAGGUUGAAGGUUGGGUAACACUAACUGGAGGACCGAACCGACUAAUGUUGAAAAAUUAGCGGAUGACUUGUGGCUGGGGGUGAAAGGCCAAUCAAACCGGGAGAUAGCUGGUUCUCCCCGAAAGCUAUUUAGGUAGCGCCUCGUGAAUUCAUCUCCGGGGGUAGAGCACUGUUUCGGCUAGGGGGCCAUCCCGGCUUACCAACCCGAUGCAAACUACGAAUACCGGAGAAUGUUAUCACGGGAGACACACGGCGGGUGCUAACGUCCGUCGUGAAGAGGGAAACAACCCAGACCGCCAGCUAAGGUCCCAAAGUCAUGGUUAAGUGGGAAACGAUGUGGGAAGGCACAGACAGCCAGGAUGUUGGCUUAGAAGCAGCCAUCAUUUAAAGAAAGCGUAAUAGCUCACUGGUCGAGUCGGCCUGCGCGGAAGAUGUAACGGGGCUAAACCAUGCACCGAAGCUGCGGCAGCGACACUAUGUGUUGUUGGGUAGGGGAGCGUUCUGUAAGCCUGCGAAGGUGUGCUGUGAGGCAUGCUGGAGGUAUCAGAAGUGCGAAUGCUGACAUAAGUAACGAUAAAGCGGGUGAAAAGCCCGCUCGCCGGAAGACCAAGGGUUCCUGUCCAACGUUAAUCGGGGCAGGGUGAGUCGACCCCUAAGGCGAGGCCGAAAGGCGUAGUCGAUGGGAAACAGGUUAAUAUUCCUGUACUUGGUGUUACUGCGAAGGGGGACGGAGAAGGCUAUGUUAGCCGGGCGACGGUUGUCCCGGUUUAAGCAUGUAGGCUGGUUAUCCAGGCAAAUCCGGAUAAUCAAGGCUGAGGUGUGAUGACGAGUCACUACGGUGAUGAAGUAACAAAUGCCCUGCUUCCAGGAAAAGCCUCUAAGCAUCAGGUAACAUCAAAUCGUACCCCAAACCGACACAGGUGGUCAGGUAGAGAAUACCAAGGCGCUUGAGAGAACUCGGGUGAAGGAACUAGGCAAAAUGGUGCCGUAACUUCGGGAGAAGGCACGCUGAUAUGUAGGUGAAGCCCCUGCGGGCGGAGCUGAAAUCAGUCGAAGAUACCAGCUGGCUGCAACUGUUUAUUAAAAACACAGCACUGUGCAAACACGAAAGUGGACGUAUACGGUGUGACGCCUGCCCGGUGCCGGAAGGUUAAUUGAUGGGGUUAUCCGUAAGGAGAAGCUCUUGAUCGAAGCCCCGGUAAACGGCGGCCGUAACUAUAACGGUCCUAAGGUAGCGAAAUUCCUUGUCGGGUAAGUUCCGACCUGCACGAAUGGCGUAAUGAUGGCCAGGCUGUCUCCACCCGAGACUCAGUGAAAUUGAACUCGCUGUGAAGAUGCAGUGUACCCGCGGCAAGACGGAAAGACCCCGUGAACCUUUACUAUAGCUUGACACUGAACAUUGAGCCUUGAUGUGUAGGAUAGGUGGGAGGCUUUGAAGCGUGGACGCCAGUCUGCGUGGAGCCAACCUUGAAAUACCACCCUUUAAUGUUUGAUGUUCUAACGUGGACCCGUGAUCCGGGUUGCGGACAGUGUCUGGUGGGUAGUUUGACUGGGGCGGUCUCCUCCCAAAGAGUAACGGAGGAGCACGAAGGUUGGCUAAUCCUGGUCGGACAUCAGGAGGUUAGUGCAAUGGCAUAAGCCAGCUUGACUGCGAGCGUGACGGCGCGAGCAGGUGCGAAAGCAGGUCAUAGUGAUCCGGUGGUUCUGAAUGGAAGGGCCAUCGCUCAACGGAUAAAAGGUACUCCGGGGAUAACAGGCUGAUACCGCCCAAGAGUUCAUAUCGACGGCGGUGUUUGGCACCUCGAUGUCGGCUCAUCACAUCCUGGGGCUGAAGUAGGUCCCAAGGGUAUGGCUGUUCGCCAUUUAAAGUGGUACGCGAGCUGGGUUUAGAACGUCGUGAGACAGUUCGGUCCCUAUCUGCCGUGGGCGCUGGAGAAUUGAGGGGGGCUGCUCCUAGUACGAGAGGACCGGAGUGGACGCAUCACUGGUGUUCGGGUUGUCAUGCCAAUGGCACUGCCCGGUAGCUACAUGCGGAAGAGAUAAGUGCUGAAAGCAUCUAAGCACGAAACUUGCCCCGAGAUGAGUUCUCCCCUGGACUUUAAGUCCACUAAAGGAACGUUGAAGACGACGACGUUGAUAGGCCGGGUGUGUAAGCGCAGCGAUGCGUUGAGCUAACCGGUACUAAUGAACCGUGAGGCUUAACCUUACAACGCCGAAG
rnacentral:rRNA from 1 species